rnacentral:rRNA from 1 species
CGUUGGCGGCAUGGAUUAGGCAUGCAAGUCGAGCGAGAAAUUUUAGAUUGACGCUUCGGUUGAUUUCUAAGAUGGACAGCGGCGCAAGGGAGAGUAACGCGUAGUUAUCUGCCCCGAGGUCCGGAAUAGCUGUGGGAAACUGCAGGUAAUGCCGGAUAAUAUCUGUAUCCCUCAAAAGAUAGGGAUCAAAGGUGUGAUUCCGCCUUGGGAGGAGACUGCGUACUACUAGCUUGUUGGUGGGGUAAUGGCCUACCAAGGCCUUGAUGGUUAGCGGGCGUGAGAGCGUGGCCCGUCUCACUGGGACUGAAACACUGCCCAGACACCUACGGGUGGCUGCAGUCGAGAAUCUUCGGCAAUGGGCGAAAGCCUGACCGAGCAAUGCCGCGUGCGGGAUGAAGGCCUUCGGUUGUAAACCGCUGUCAGUUGGGAGGAAGGGUUCGUGAAGAGCGAAUCUUGACCUAUCUUCAGAGGAAGUCCGGGCUAAGUUCGUGCCAGCAGCCGCGGUAAUACGAACCGGACAAACGUUAUUCGGAAUUAUUGGGCUUAAAGGGUGCGUAGGCGGCAAUGUAGGUGGGGUGUGAAAUCCUCGGCUCAACCGAGGAACUGCGCCCCAAACCACAUCGCUAGAGGGAGACAGAGGUAAGCGGAACUGAUGGUGGAGCGGUGAAAUGCGUUGAUAUCAUCAGGAACACCAGUGGCGAAAGCGGCUUACUGGGUCUCUUCUGACGCUGAGGCACGAAAGCUAGGGUAGCGAACGGGAUUAGAUACCCCGGUAGUCCUAGCUGUAAACGAUGAGCACUUGGUUGAGGGCCCCCAUAGGUUCUCGACCGUAGCGAAAGUGUUAAGUGCUCCGCCUGGGGAGUAUGGUCGCAAGGCUGAAACUCAAAGGAAUUGACGGGGCUCACACAAGCGGUGGAGGAUGUGGCUUAAUUCGAGGCUACGCGAAGAACCUUAUCCAGGCCUUGACAUGUUCGGAUGCUACCCGGGAAACCGGGUUAGUUGCCUUCGGGUGAAACGUUCACAGGUGCUGCAUGGCUGUCGUCAGCUCGUGUCGUGAGAUGUCGGGUUAAGUCCCUUAACGAGCGAAACCCUUGUCCUUAGUUGCCAGCGCGUUAUGGCGGGGACUCUAAGGAGACUGCCGGUGUUAAACCGGAGGAAGGUGGGGAUGACGUCAAGUCCUCAUGGCCUUUAUGGUCUGGGCUGCACACGUCCUACAAUGGCAUAUACAAAGGGAAGCAACCUCGCGAGAGCAAGCAAAUCCAGAAAGUAUGCCCCAGUUCGGAUUGCAGGCUGCAACUCGCCUGCAUGAAGCCGGAAUCGCUAGUAAUCGUGGAUCAGCAUGCCACGGUGAAUACGUUCCUGAGCCUUGUACACACCGCCCGUCAAGCCACGAAAGUGGGGAGGGCUUAAAGUCGCCAAGCUAACCUUCGGAGGCAGGCGCCUAGAGUCAACUCCGCGAUUGGGACU